UUUUUAACGGAGAGUUUGAUCCUGGCUCAGGAUGAAUGCUGGCGGCGUGCCUAACACAUGCAAGUCGAGCGGCAGCGAGUUCUGCACUGUCAACUUGAAGCCUGGACGCGGGGAUUUCCGAAGGAAAUCAGCCGUAUCAUUUCGAAAGGAGUGAGUGUCUAGGGUGAUUUCGAAUUGAUGGUGCAGAAUGUCGGCGAGCGGCGAACGGCUGAGUAACGCGUAGGAAUUUGCCCCAAAGUGAGGGAUAACUGCCCGAAAGGGUAGCUAAUACCGCAUAUG
rnacentral:rRNA from 1 species